UACGUAGGGUGCAAGCGUUGUCCGGAAUUAUUGGGCGUAAAGAGCUCGUAGGCGGCCUGUCGCGUCGGCUGUGAAAACUCAGGGCUCAACCCUGAGCCUGCAGUCGAUACGGGCAGGCUAGAGUCCGGCAGGGGAGACUGGAAUUCCUGGUGGUAGCGGUGAAAUGCGCAGAUAUCAAGGAGGAACACCGGUGGCGAAGGCGGGUCUCUGGGCCGGAACUGACGCUGAGGAGCGAAAGCAUGGGGAGCGAACAGG
rnacentral:rRNA from 1 species